CUACUUAUCUGACAGUGGAGACACCACAAUCAGGAAGGUGGUUUCCUCAAAGUGAGACUCAUCCAUCCCACUUGUUAUAUGCUGACUCCUAUGCUUUCCCCAAACGCAGAAAAUUUGACUGUAUAAUUCGUGGUAGUGGGAGACUGUGUUCACACUCUGUCCUG